CAUCACAAUGAAUAACAUUCUGUAUAUAUAGCCUUAUACUGAUCGUAGCUCAUCUGUGCAUGGGCUUAACGAAUGUCAACAGUAAACGUCAGAUUUGGCGGCACUUCACUUUUUAGGUUAUAAGAGUUUUUGUACGGAUUGUAACUACUGAUAGUAGAUGAUUAAUGAUUUGAUUAAUGUUAUAUUCCUGAUUAUUAUUUGACACUGUAAUAGAAGCAAUCAAUGUAAUAAAGCAAAUGUAGCUGGAAGCAGUGGUUUAAAUGAUAAACCCCCAUACCGGAGCUCGAGGGCCACGGACAUGCCCUCACAUGAAACUGGAAGCAAUAGAUUAAAUGAUGGAACCCUGUGACUGAGCUUUUGAGCCUUGGCUUGGCUCACAUCUCAGAAGUUGGAUAAAGGAUCUAAUGUCCACAAGGUGCGUAAACGUCACUUGGCCUUCUAAAAGUUGGUUUGAUAAUAGAAACUACAGAAAAUAUGUGUAUAAAUGAUACAAGAUUUCAUUAACUUGUUCGAUAAGAGGAGCAAAAGACAGAUCGUUUUGUUUACUUAAAACCAAAAGGUUUUUGUUUGGUGCAUCUAGCAUAACUUUGUUUUCAGUUGAUCAAAUUAUUAACCAUUUCUUUUGUAUUGUUUGUUUUUGGGCUGUGAGAUGAGAAGCUGCCAUACACAAAGGAACAACUCAAGGAAUCAAACAGCUGAUGUAUGAUGAGAGGUAACUUAAGGGUUGAAGCAUUAGCUCUUUGGUGAAACUAACUAUGUCAUCAGCACAAGCCUUGAACAUGUUGAUAAGGAUAUGAAAUGCUAGAUGGUAAGAAUGGCAUUGGACAGAAUACACAGUAUUCUGGUGCAGUGCAGGUACUCAGAGAAAACUGAUUAACACAUAGCCUCGCUGCAAGAGCACACUGAUGUAAAGAAGGUUAAAUCUGAUAGAUGGUGGAGCCACUGCCAGCGGACCGAGUGCCAAGCUGCUGGUGAUCAGGGUCGCAGAGUCGCCGUACUGCAGUGCCGUGUACUUACACGAUAAGGAAGCGAAUCUCUCUAUAUGUGCAUUGAUUGAGAGUGUCGAGAUUCAAUGUUAUAAGAUUAAUAGCUGGCACGACUAUACUAGUCUUUAUAUACAUAUUGUAAAAUCUUAAUUGAGUGCCGAGUUAUGGCAGUGUGUAGUCUAGACCAGGCCAUGAUAGUAGGUAAAACAAACAAAGCUAUGUAUAGAUUGUGACUUAUGUCGAUUCGAAGAUUCUUGUAAUGUAAGCUUGUUGCGUGAAUCAAAUUUUAAACAAAAUAUUGAUAGGUAAAUUUAUGUUGGAAAACUGCUCAGAACAGGCCUUAAAGGCAGACUGUCUGGGGCAGGCCCUGAUUGUUGAUGAUGAUAUUAUUUACCAUAACAAACAUAUAAGAUUGAAAAGGUUAAUACCUUUUGAUUGAUUGAUUAUGAUGAAUGAAGGAGCAGACUGUCUGGAACAGGUCCUGACUGGGUUGGGCCUAACAUUCUAGAGCAGGCCGUGAAGGCAGACUGUCUAGAACAGGCUAUGAUACCAGUUUGGCAUUCUAGAGCAGGCCGUUAUGGCAGACUGUCUAGACCACACCAGUCUAGAGCAGGCCAUACCAAAUUAUAAAAUUAUAUUGAUUGAUUAGGUUGAAUGAAGGAGCAGACUGUCUGGAACAGGUUUGGGUAGUAGCCUGACAUUCUAGAGCAGGCCGUGAAGGCAGACUGUCUAGAACAGGCUAUAAUACCAUCUUGACAUUCUAGAGCAGGCCGAUAUGGCAGACUGUCUAGGCCACACCAGUCUAGAGCAGGCCAUAAUUUAAUUGAUUGAUUGGCAGACCGCCUUGAUUAGUCAAGAACGGGCCAUAACAAAUUAUAUUUUGUUGAUGAAAAGAGCAGGCCUUAAAGGCAGACUGCGGAUGUUUAUGGUAUAAUAUCUCUUAUUAAUAUGUUCAGAACAGGCCUUUAGGUUGACUGUUAAUGAUAUAUACUUUGUUAAUAUAAUUAGAACAGGCUUGUAAGCAGACUGAUUAUUAGUGAUAUAAUAUACUUUAUUAAUAUGAUAAGAGCAGGCCUAGUCUAGUAGGCAGACUGUGAUGUUAAUUAGAAAAUAUACUUUUGCUAAUAUGUUAUACUUUGGAACCGGCCUUGAAGGCAGACUGAGAUAGUUAAUGAUAUAAUAUAAAAACCUCGAUAAUAUGAUUAGAAUUGACUUUGUAAGCUGAAUGUGACUAUUAAUGAUAUAUUAUACUUAGUCAAUACUUAAAUAACAAGCCUAGUAGGCAGAGAUUGAUAAUGAUGUUUUAUAUACUUUGAUAAAA
rnacentral:lncRNA from 1 species